AUUGAACGCUGGCGGCAGGCCUAACACAUGCAAGUCGAGCGAGCGGCGGACGGGUGAGUAAUGUCUGGGAAACUGCCUGAUGGAGGGGGAUAACUACUGGAAACGGUAGCUAAUACCGCAUACCAUCAGAUGUGCCCAGAGGGGAUUAGCUAGUAGGUGGGGUAAAGGCCUACCGAGGCGACGAUCCCUAGCUGGUCUGAGAGGAUGACCAGCCACACUGGAACUGAGACACGGGCCAGACGCCGACGGGAGGCAGCAGUGGGGAAUAUUGGACAAGGGGCGCAAGCCUGAUGCAGCCAGGCCGCGUGUGUGAAGAAGGCCGUCGGGUUGUAAAGUACUUUCAGCGGGGAGGCGUUACCCGCAGAAGAAGCACCGGCUAACUCCGUGCCAGCAGCCGCGGUAAUUC
rnacentral:rRNA from 1 species